UCUCAUUGAAUGGUUGUGAUAUUAUCUUAUUUUAUAAAUUGUCACCUUAAUGUGUUAUGGGUGGGUGGAUUACACGGUCGCCGUGGUUGGGAAUGAACUUAAAAAUGGUAAGAGUGUUUGUGCUCACAGUUUUUAUUUUUAUCUUUUUAUUUUUAUUUUAUACCAAUGUAUCUUUGUACAUUACCAGUGUUUGCAGUCUCGAAUAAACAUUUGAUCCAAAAAUACAACAGUCAUUAGUUUUAAUAAGUUUUGUGUUUUCAGUAGGAAGAAGAGAAACUUCAACACACUCGAGGAAAACAGACACAAAACCUUCAUCAGAACCACCUCAGAGUAAAACAACAAACUCUUCACCUCCACUAUCCUCAACAACACUGGAACAAGAUAAACAGCAAACACACCCUCUAGUAGGAAGAACAGAAACUUCAUCACGCUCGAGGAAAACAGACACAACACCUCCAUCAGAACCGCCUCAGAGUAAAACAACAAACUCUUCACCUGCAUCAUCCUCAACAACACUGGAACAAGAUAAACAGCAAACACACAGCAGCCUCUUUAUAGUUUUCAUCAUUCUGGCGGUUUUAUUGUUAUUUUUGGUGUUACCCGGUGUAGUGGCAUUUAUCUGUUGGAGACGCAAAGGUACAACACACACACACACACACACACACACACACACACACACAUACACACACAUAACAACGACAACAACAACAAAUUCUGACAUUGAUUAACUGAAAACCUGUAGAAGCAGCAGCACUUCUGUAAGUGUCUCUGGGUAAGGAAAAUGAAAUUGUGUAGUUUCCACUAGAGGUGUGAUUUCUGAGGUCUUUUCUCUUUAGGAGGAAGAUGUGGAGAGAACGUGAUUACUGAAGGACGUCUGGACUGUAAGAGAAAGCAGAAG